AGCAGUUGACGAGUCCCAAAUAGGACGAAACGCGCGUCCUGGAU
rnacentral:hammerhead_ribozyme from 1 species